AAGGCGAAGACGGGUAGCUGGUCUGAGAGGAUGAUCAGCCACACUGGAACUGAGACAACGGUCCAGACUCCUACGGGAGGCAGCAGUGGGGAAUAUUGCGCAAUGGGCGAAAGCCUGACGCAGCCACGCCGCGUGAGCGAUGAAGGUCUUCGGAUCGUAAAGCUCUGGUGGGGGGAGAAGAAGAAAGUCGGUGAAGAGCCGGCCCUGACGGUAUCCCCUUAGCAAGCACCGGCUAACUCCGUGCCAGCAGCCGCGGUAAUACGGAGGGUGCAAACGUUGCUCGGAAUCAUUGGGCGUAAAGCGCGCGUAGGCGGCUGAACAAGUUGGAUGUGAAAGCCCUGGGCUCAACCUAGGAUGUGCAUUCAAAACUGUUCGGCUUGAGUCUCGGAGGGGGUCAGAGAAUUCUCGGUGUAGAGGUGAAAUUCGUAGAUAUCGGGAG
rnacentral:rRNA from 1 species